rfam:Canis lupus familiaris chromosome 14, whole genome shotgun sequence.
GGGGGAGGCUGGAUCCUGGGCUGUGUCCCGGCGCCCUGUGCUCCGGGGCAUGCGCUGUUGGAUUCGCGCUCCCGGGCCGCGCAACGCCCU